rnacentral:rRNA from 1 species
UACAUAGGGGGCAAGCGUUAUCCGGAAUUAUUGGGUGUAAAGGGUGCGUAGACGGAGAAACAAGUUGGUUGUGAAAUCCCUCGGCUCAACUGAAGAACUGCAACCAAAACUAUUUCCCUUGAGUGUCGGAGAGGAAAGUGGAAUUCCUAGUGUAGCGGUGAAAUGCGUAGAUAUUAGGAGGAACACCAGUGGCGAAGGCGACUUUCUGGACGAUAACUGACGUUGAGGCACGAAAGUGUGGGGAGCAAACA